GAUUACGUCCCUGCCCUUUGUACACACCGCCCGUCGCUACUACCGAUUGAAUGAUUUAGUGAGGUCUUCGGACUGKUGCUCGARACGACUUCCGGGUCGGRUCGAUGCGCCGGAAAG
rnacentral:rRNA from 1 species